rnacentral:lncRNA from 1 species
CCGGUAGAGGGGACCCAGGGCUGCCGGUAGAGGGGACCCAGGGCUGCCCAGUGGAGAGGCAAGGAGAAUCAGAGAGGUGCGCAGGAAGCUGCUUUAUUCUUGCUGAGAGACAGGGGCUGCUGCCCACACACAGACCCUGUGUCCACCCUGCAGAGAAGGCCAGGAGGGCCUGCAGAGCUGGGAAGCGCCACCCAAGGGUCUCAGUCACCAAGACUGCAGGAGAGGCAAGGCCACCAAGACUGCAGGAGAGGCAAGGCCAUGCCAGGCCUGGCAGCUGUGGCUGGGGCCAGGAGGGAGGGACCAGGCCCAUGUGGGAACAGGACAAAUGCCCAAGGCCACAUCCUUCGUCCACAGUCCUGAGGCUCCUGCCAGGCUGACAGGAAACAGCCCAGAGCUGAGGUCUUUGAGCCGGUCAUUCCAACAUUGCAAGCACCACCCAGUCCUCCUGGCUGAAGUUGAGUGAGGGUGAUGCCGGUCUCCCCCAGCUCCAGGCUGCCCAUGCCAGAAGCAGCCCAGUCCACACUGCCUCUGGCAUCCACGCGGAAGACAAGGGGCUCUCUGACGCCGACCAUGGCUGUGCCCUGGGCCCAGGCCUCCUGGGCCAGCAGCUUGUUGUUGGAGUUGUUGGAAUUGGGGUCCCCUCCGGGGGUCGCACCGGGCAGUGUGAAGAGAUGCCCCGAUGAGCUCCUGGGCACCUCUGUGGUGGGAGACACACCCUGCGGGCCCAUCUUCUUCACCCGGACUUCAAUGGUCUCCUCCACCUCCACCCACUUGGGCUGGGGCCCCGAGAGUCCGGGCAGAGCUGGAGAGUGGGCCUCGGCCUCCGUCACAUACAGUGUGGGCACCACGGGCUUCUGGCCUGGUUCUGCCUCCGGCCUGCGGGGCUGGCCAGCACCUGGCAGGUACAGCAGGUUGGGGGCCAGUAGGCCUGGCCUCAGCGGGCUGGCAGAGCAGCGGGAAGGUGAGCGGGAGGGGGACUUGCUGGGGGACCGUCGUUGGCCACGUGGGCUCUUCACCACAGUGGUGAUGGUCUCUUCUCUGGGGGAGGGAGGAGAGGGCCCGAGAAAAGAUGGGCACAGCGCCCAGGAUUGCCAGGGCAGCAUGAGAGCUCAGGUUAUUGUACCAGCAAGCCAGCAGUGAGAGUGCACAAAGAACUCUUACACAUGCAUGUGAGCCCAACCUACAGAGUCCCCCACCCCCUGCCACAGAACUAAAGAAACAAAGCACAAGGUCCCAUGUGGCCAACCUGUCUCUGGUGUGCAGAUCUGAGAACAAGAGGUGAGGUACGUGGGGAGGCCCGUGCCGCACUGCAUAGGCAAGCGCCUCCAAAAACCGGGUCACAUCCUGAUUGCAGUGGCCCCGGUGCCCGUCUCCCCUCCAGGUCCAUCCCACCUUUGUGCUUUGUGUCAUGGGGGAUGGUGCGUGGCCAACUCUCAUAGGGCAGGGCCUGCACACCCUGAAACUCCUCAGCCAGGGACGGGCUGGACAGCUUAUGCCGUGGGGGUGGGGUGGGGGCUGAGCUCAGACCUGUUCUCCUGGCCUUUGGGUCUGAAAGUGUGAGGCCCAGAAAGGUUUUAGGCAGGCCAAGGGAGAAACCUGGGUGAUACGUGGCCCCAGACUUGGCUUGGCCAUGAUGAGCCGUGUGAUAUCAGACAAGCCCCUCCUCCUGCCUGGCUCCAUCUCCCAAAAUGGGAUUGGGGAGGAGUGACGGAGGCAGAAUGCAAGGUUGGCUGUACGUGGCUGUGCAUGGGGCACUGGCUGGGAACUUUGCAAGCUCUCUUGUCUGACUCUGCAGUAACCUGGGAGAGGGUCUGAUCCCACUUUAUAGGGGACAGAGAGGGUCAAAGAGGCUCAAAAUCUGCCUGGGGCCAAGAGGGAGAAGCAGAGCAGUCAGCCCAGGUCCUCCUCUGGUGCCCUGUGCCCCUGACCUUGCUGAGCACUGAGAGCAAACUGAGUUAACACGUAGGGAAGCAGAACGUGCUGAGUAACACACAACACAUACCAUUUCCCUGCCUGUUACUCAUUUUGCCCUCAGCCUUGCACUUCCCUCAGGCUCAAGACAAGGGAUGUGGCAUGUAUGAGGUGACAAAGUCGUCACCAAGUGAGCUACUGCCAGCUGUCUGCUUUGUCCAAAGUACUGUCUCUUUCUCAUUUAGUUUUGCUUUCAUCUAACUCAGGGCUCCAUCUGGAAGCAGUUGCUCCCAGGCAUGAGCCCAGAGAUGUGUGACCACCCCUUGGGGUGCACAGCAAUGACAGGUCCUGCCUCCUCCAGCCCUCAGCUAUUAAGGAGGGAGUGAUAUAUUCCACUUAACUGAUGGGGAAGCUGAGGCUCAGAGAUGUGGCCCACUUGUGCCCACAGGCCUGAUUUCCUGCCUCACACCCAGGCUCUAGGGCAGUAGGCUUGUUGCUGAGAGCCUGGGCCUAACCCCAUCUGCUCACCUCAUGUUGCCUGAUCUGCUGAUGCAGGGUGGUAAGUUGAGUGCAGCCCAACAGGUGGAUGGGGACUCCUAAAUAUCCCCCAAAUGCUGGACUCACUGCCACCCCCACAAGGACACAUGGGCAUCCUGUACUGAGACUGCAAGCACAGCAUAUGGGGUCUGUCUCGAAGCCCUGUUUCCUUCUCAGGUCUACUGCCUCCCCAGUGCCUCUCCCUGUGUGGUCCACCCUUGGGUUCAGCGCUAUGCCUAUGCACUUGGCUCCCUCCAAUCCUCAAGCUGAGUGGGUAAAUUAUGCUUUGCAGAGUGAGGGUUGCCACCUUCCUAAGCCUGGAACAGACUGGACUUGUAUGCUUGUAAAUCACCUGGUCCUCCUUUCCCUAGGCGUGAGUCGCCUCUGAAGCUUUGCCAGUGGGGCAUUCUGGCAUCAUCUCUGCUCCUCCAUUUUCUUAUCCAUCAAAUGUAGAUAAUAAUAGUGCUCCCAAAGGGACAAAAUGUAGACCUACUCUAUGUGAGGCUCUGGCACCGUUGCAUACCUCCAGGAGUGGGGUGCUCACCAGCAUCCAGGCAGCCCCAUCUAUUGUGGGGUGGCAUCAUAGGAGCAACUUGUUUUAGGGGAGGAGGGAGAAAGCCAAGGAAGGGUUAACCCAGGAUCUCAACAAAUGUCUGGCAAUGGGAUUUUCCCACAAUACGGCCAACUGAAGGCCCCUUUAGGAGGUUGUAGGCCCCUUGAGAACUAAGAGUUUUCCCAUGCUGGAGCUUCUCAGCCAUCUGGCCUUAGGAAACCACAGUCUUUCCUGCCUCCUGGCUUUUGCAAGCUCUUCCAUCACUCCCGCCUGCACACACCUUCUAUUGGAAGUCCUCUCAGAUUAUUCAGGUCAAAACCAACUCUACAUUUAUGGGUUCACCCAUUUCUGGUCCUCUUGUGUUACCUCAGCAGCAGCAGCAUGUGUGAUUUUCCUAAUCCUUGAGGCACUGAAGGAUGAAGAAAGGGACGGUGGGUGUGGCACUGGGGAAGUGGCUUCCAGUCAUUAGCCACCCAGAGCUAACCUCCUCUCUUCCCUGAACUUCAGUUUCCCCAUCUUCCAAAUGUGAAAAUCGGGCUUGGGGACCUCUAAGGGCCCUAAGGCUGUGCUGUCCACU